rnacentral:siRNA from 1 species
AUAGUGCUGAGGUGGGGCACGU